UACGGAGGGGGCUAGCGUUGUUCGGAUAUACUGGGCGUAAAGCGCACGUAGGCGGCGCGGUAAGUCAGGGGUGAAAUCCCGGAGCUCAACUCCGGAACUGCCCUUGAAACUGCAGUGCUAGAGUCUUGGAGAGGCGAGUGGAAUUCCGAGUGUAGAGGUGAAAUUCGUAGAUAUUCGGAAGAACACCAGUGGCGAAGGCGACUCGCUGGACAAGUAUUGACGCUGAGGUGCGAAAGCGUGGGGAGCAAACAGG
rnacentral:rRNA from 1 species